rnacentral:lncRNA from 1 species
AUUACCUUGCAUGUGCAGUGCCUGCAUCAUUGUAUUGCAUUCAACAGGUGGUGGCAGGGAACUGCAUUGCUCCUGGGUGGUGUAACAACUGCACUGAAAAAUCUGUGGCUCUUCAUGAGAGCAGCAAGAAACAGAAAGCUGCUUUUCCUGGAAUGCCCCGGAACCUGACUUUCCUGACUGGAUGCUGGUUGCCCAAACAGGUAGCAACAAAGAGCUGUGGUGCUUCCAAGUGAUGUAAUAACUGCGCAGAGAGAUGUGUGGCUCUUCAUGAAAUCAUCAAGAAAUGGAUAGCUGCAUUUCCUGGAAUGUCCUAGAACCCCACUUUGCUGACUAACUGCGAGCUCAGGUUUUACAGGCCAGAGGUGGAGCUAACAUGGAGGCCUCUGGAUUUUCAAGAAGGAAUGAGAAGGCUGAGAAUCAGAACUCCCUUUGCUUCCUUUGAAGUUUUGAGUUGUGCUCUGGAACAGAAUGUACAGCUGAAUCUAGAACAGUUGCCAAAGAGGAAUUUGCGGGCAGAUGGUGCUGGAUUUCCCAGACAAAGGUCAUAAAGUUCCUUGCCUCCUUGCAAAGUGUUCUCAUAUUAUUCUUAUAUAGCUUUUUAUGUUACUGCUGCACUGAUAUUUUUAUUACAAAUCCAUUAUCUGUUUCCCAAAGGUGAUGCUGAGA